rnacentral:rRNA from 1 species
ACGAGUGGCGGACGGGUGAGUAAUGUCUGGGAAACUGCCCGGUGGAGGGGGAUAACUACUGGAAACGGUAGCUAAUACCGCAUAACGUCGCAAGACCAAAGAGGGGACCUUCGGGCCUCUUGCCACCGGAUGUGCCCAGAUGGGAUUAGCUUGUUGGUGAGGUAACGGCUCACCAAGGCGACGAUCCCUAGCUGGUCUGAGAGGAUGACCAGCCACACUGGAACUGAGACACGGUCCAGACUCCUACGGGAGGCAGCAG